rnacentral:rRNA from 1 species
UGGGGAAUCUUGCGCAAUGGGCGACAGCCUGACGCAGCAACGCCGCGUGAGGGAAGAAGGCUUUCGGGUCGUAAACCUCUUUCAGGAGGGACGAAGCUUCGGGGGUGAAUAGCCCUCCGGAGUGACGGUACUUCCACAAGAAGCCCCGGCUAACUACGUGCCAGCAGCCGCGGUAAUACGUAGGGGGCUAGCGUUGUCCGGAAUCAUUGGGCGUAAAGAGCGCGUAGGCGGCCAGAUAAGUCCGGUGUGAAAGUCAAAGGCUCAACCUUUGAAUGCCGCUGGAAACUGUCUGGCUAGAGUCCGGGAGGGGCGAGUGGAAUUCCUGGUGUAGCGGUGAAAUGCGCAGAUAUCAGGAGGAACACCUAUGGCGAAGGCAGCUCGCUGGAACGGUACUGACGCUGAGGCGCGAAAGCGUGGGGAGCAAACAGG